UUGAAGAUUUACCAGAUAAAGCACCUCCAGCACGCAGCAGAGAGCCUGGUGGAUGCACUCGAUGCAUGCUGGCUGUUUUUCAUUAUGAAUCAACGCCGUCAGAGGCAGAACACCUACAAUGAUUAAAAAACUUGUGGGUCUUCAUCCCUGAACAUCACAACCGAACCAGACAGGGUUAAAGCAUCAGCAGCAGGUGUUCUGGGCCAGGCCUCCCCCAGCCUUGAAGUCAGGAAUGCUCUCAGCAGGAUUGCUUCGCCAUGUGGAUGAGAAAGAUCUGUGUGUCCGAUGUAAAGUGCAAAUGCUAUGUAGCUGGGACUUUUCCAGUGGUAACAACUCUUCUAUGUACAAAGCUCCAAGAGCACAUCAGUUGGUUGUGAAAAUGGACCUCCAGCACUCUCCUAGGUGUUGAAGACCUCUGUUGGCAAAUCUCCACCUCCCCAACUCUCUUCGCAUGAAAGCCCUCUUGUGACUGCUGGUGUCUUCAGAUGGGCAGAGCAGCAUCUCAGGGUGCCAGAGAAGCAGAUGCCGUCUUCGCCCAUUCUCUUAGGAUCCAGAGUCAGCAGCCCCGGAAACCUGAGACAGGGGGUGCAGUCUGUGUCCCCUCCACAGGUGGAGACAGUCAGGCUCAGCUUGGAAGAGGAAUUCCUGAAGGGAGUGCGCCAAGAAGGACAAUUCGCUGUCUUGUCAGAGGGGCGACAGGGCUUCAGGAAGGUCCUGGGGGAGAAUGAAGGGUUUUGUGGUCUCUAAUCUCUAACAGAGUCCCUGGCUGAGAUACCCAUCAUCUCAUUCCACCCUGGUCUGCUGGUUGGGGCCAUGGGCAGUGAGUCCACGGCAGGACUCCCGAGCAGUGGCUGUCGGCCGGUCACCCCAGGCAGCUCAGGGGCUGGACACCCCCAGACAGCUCAGGGGCUGGUCACCCCCGGGCAGCUCAGGGGCCAGACAUGCCCAACAGCUCAGGGGACAGUCACCCCGGACAGCUCAGGGGCCGGUCACCCCGGACAGCUCAGGGAAACACGGACCCUGGUGCCCCAGGAAAGGUGCCCACAGCCACAGCCAGCCUGAAUGCGGCCCCUGGAGUGUGGGGUCUUGAACACCAUCCUUCAGGGCUGAAGCCUACUUCCUUCAAAGGUGUCAAGUGUGGUGGAGAGUAAGAGAACCUCAGGCCGAAGAGAUGGUGCUGUCAUUAGGGACACAUUGUACAAACACACACGAUAAUCGAUUGCGCCGAGAGCCUGUCUCAAAGGCAUGGUAGAAUUUCUGCUUCAGCCUGCGGUGCUGUGGUAUUAACAUGAUUAAUAUUGUCCAUUACGUGUGAUUUUCGAUGCAGGAGAAAAUGUUAUUUUGCUUAAAGAUGUAAAUUUAUAAAAAUAGCCAAAUUAGAGACAGGGACUUGAAUUCUCGGUUAUUUUAAAUACUAGUUAAAAGCUUUAAAUGGCUAAAUGCAUUUUUAAUACUGGGUCCCGUUUAUGUAUUUAUUUAUUGUGUAUGGAAUGAUUUUGCUUAGAUAUCUAUUUGGCACUUAUUUAAAUAACCUACUUGUUGGUUAAAUAUAUGUUCCAUAACAGGAAGCUUAUUAAAAGAGUUUACUAUGGUAAUUAGGUCUGCAAAAGACAUAAAAAUAAUAGUUUGUCUAUAGUAGAUAAAAUGCUAAGAAUAGUUUCACCUUUCUUCUACGAAAUAAUCCACCUAGAACCCAAGUAUGGA